AAAAACAUGUCCUUUUGAUUUUAAUUUAAGGUCUAACCUGCUCAAUGAGUUUUAAAUGGCCGCAGUAUCUUGACUGUGCAAAGGUAGCAUAAUCAUUAGUUUUUUAAUUGAAAGCUGGAAUGAAAGGUUGCAUGAGAAAAUAGCUGUCUCUAUAAAAAUUUUAUAGAAUUUUAUUUUUAAGUUAAAAAGCUUAAAUUUUAAUAAAAGACGAGAAGACCCUAUAGAGUUUUAUAUUUAUGAAUUAUAUUUUUUUAAGAAUUAAAAAGUUUAUAAUUUUAUUAUAUUUAAUUGGGGUGAUUGGAAAAUUGAAUAAACUUUUCUUUUAAAUUUACACUUAUUUUUGAAAUUAUGAUCCUUCUAUGAAGACUAUAAGAUUAAAUUACCUUAGGGAUAACAGCGUAAUUUUUUUUGAGAGUUCUUAUCGAAAGAAAAGAUUGCGACCUCGAUGUUGGAUUAAAAUGAAUUUUUGGUGUAGAAGCUAAAUUAAUUAGGUCUGUUCGACCUUUAAAAUUUUACUUGAUCUGAGUU
rnacentral:rRNA from 1 species